rnacentral:sRNA from 1 species
AGCAUGCUCUGCUCAGGCGGCAGCAGUGGCUUUUUGGAGGUGUCUCGGCCAUGACACACAUUUGACAUGCCCUCCCUCAACCUACUUAUAGACUAUUUUUCUUGCUCUGCAGCAUGGACCAAAGAGAAAUUCUGCAGAAGUUCCUGGAUGAGGCCCAAAGCAAGAAAAUUAACAAAGAGGAGUUUGCCAAUGAAUUUCUGAAGCUGAAAAGGCAAUCUACCAAGUACAAGGCAGAAAAAACCUAUCCUACAGCUGUGGCUGAGAAGCCCAAGAAUAUCAAGAAAAACAGAUAUAAGGAUAUUUUGCCCUAUGAUUAUAGCCGGGUAGAACUAUCCCUGAUAACCUCUGAUGAGGAUUCCAGCUACAUCAAUGCCAACUUCAUUAAGGGAGUUUAUGGACCCAAGGCUUAUAUUGCCACCCAGGGUCCUUUAUCUACAACCCUCCUGGACUUCUGGAGGAUGAUUUGGGAAUAUAGUGUCCUUAUCAUUGUUAUGGCAUGCAUGGAGUAUGAAAUGGGAAAGACUCCCAGGAAGUCUGUAAUUUAUAUAUCCUUUAACGUUUGUUU